GCCUAUGGCCAUACCGCCCUGAAUGCGCCCGAUCUCUUCUGAUCUCGGAAGCUAAGCAGGGUCGGGCCUGGUUAGUACUUGGAUGGGAGACUACCUGGGAAUACCAGCUGCAGUAGGCU